ACGGCUCAGUAACACGUGGACAAUCUAACCUACGGAGGGGGAUAACCCCGGGAAACUGGGGAUAAUACCCCAUAGACUAUGGAUGCUGGAAUGCUUUGUAGUCGAAAGGUCCGCCGCCGUAGGAUGGGUCUGCGGCCGAUUAGGUUGUUGUUGGGGUAACGGCCCAACAAGCCUGUAAUCGGUACGGGUUGUGGGAGCAAGAGCCCGGAGAUGGAUUCUGAGACACGAAUCCAGGCCCUACGGGGCGCAGCAGGCGCGAAAACUUUACAAUGCGGGAAACCGUGAUAGGGGAACUCUGAGUGCCCGUUAAAUCGGGCUGUCCAUCAGUUUAAAUAACUGGUGAAGAAAGGGCCGGGCAAGACCGGUGCCAGCCGCCGCGGUAAUACCGGCGGCUCGAGUGGUGGCCACUAUUACUGGGCUUAAAGCGUUCGUAGCUGGUUUGUUAAGUCUCUGGGGAAAUCUUCCGGCUUAACCGGAAGGCGUCUCAGGGAUACUGGCAGACUAGGGACCGGGAGAGGUGAGGGGUACUCCAGGGGUAGGAGUGAAAUCCUGUAAUCCUUGGGGGACCACCUGUGGCGAAGGCGCCUCACCAGAACGGCUCCGACAGUGAGGGACGAAAGCUGGGGGAGCAAACCGGAUUAGAUACCCGGGUAGUCCCAGCUGUAAACGAUGCGCGUUAGGUGUAUCGAUGACCACGAGUCAUCGAGGUGCCGAAGAGAAAUCGUGAAACGUGCCGCCUGGGAAGUACGGUCGCAAGGCUGAAACUUAAAGGAAUUGGCGGGGGAGCAC
rnacentral:rRNA from 1 species